rnacentral:rRNA from 1 species
CACGUAGGGGGCGAGCGUUGUCCGGAUUUAUUGGGCGUAAAGAGCUCGUAGGCGGCUCAGUAAGUCAGGUGUGAAAACUCCAGGCUCAACCUGGAGACGCCACCUGAUACUGCUGUGGCUAGAGUCCGGUAGGGGAGCAUGGAAUUCCUGGUGUAGCGGUGAAAUGCGCAGAUAUCAGGAGGAACACCAGUGGCGAAGGCGGUGCUCUGGGGCCGGAACUGACGCUGAGGAGCGAAAGCGUGGGGGAGCAAACAGG